ACAUAUAGGGUGGAAUAGAUGAGAUAAGCCAUAUUAAUGGAAGGAGAAUCUAGCUUUCUUAGCCGUUGGAGAAGAAGCAAAAAAACAUAGUGACAUACAAGAUAGGAUAAGUACCAACUUUUCUGUAUGUUUCCACUUGACAGCUUAUAUUAGUUGUUAAUUGCCUCUGCAUAGUUGUUGCAAUCUUAUUUAAUCGUUGCACGUUGUUUCUCCACUUUUUCCUCCACCCUCCCCUCGUCUUGACUUUUCAUUUGAUGUUUAUUUGACUUUCAUGCAUCUAUAGUGCUUGACUGAAAAGUUGUAAAAUACUUUUAAAGCAAAUCAAUCAAAAGAGAUAGAAGGGAUAAAUUAUAGUCGAUCCUAAUUGAUGAUGGAUCAAAAAAUAAAAUUGAAACAUGGAAGUAAUAGACAGAAAUAAUAAUUGGGGAGUUUUAUUGAUCAUAGAAAUUUGCCCUGCCUCUCCUUAGAGAGGUUCAGGGAAUUACAAUCAUAUUGCCCCUCAUGGAUAGUCGAAAAAUGGAUCUCCCCUUGCCCGUAGGUUCAAGGUUCUAUUCAUGGAGUUUCACUCUCCCUUUUUCGGGUUGUCUUUGUAGUGGAGAAGAAGGCUAAGGCCGGAGCCCCUUUUCAGCUCUCUUACCUUGUAUUUAUAGUUGAAAGGAAAACCUCUAAAUUUUCUACGAUGGUCGUGGUCAUGUAGGAGAGAUGUUCUUUCGUCGUGGGGAGGCCUUGGCCUCGUUGCUUGUAUUGGAAAUGACAAUAAUGAAUUGGAGUCGAGUCGGUUGACUACUCUCACGAAUUGAUUAGGACGGGGUCGUUACCGUCAUAGUCAUAUGGUCAGAUUUUGACCAAUACAGUUAGUCCCUCUGUUCGUCGGGUCGUGCCUUGCCGACCUCGGCAGACGGAUCGUGUGUGUGACACGGUCGAGGGGAGUUAGAUUCGCCUUUUAUUCCUUAGUCGCGUUAUGACUUUUCAAAAUUUCCCGGGGGCGUCUUUCUGGUAUUCGUGUACCGUCACGACGGUUUCGAAGCUGAAGCGUCGGUUGGUAAACAAAACGUCACUUCGUGCAGACAGUCAUAAUGGCGCACGUUUCCGAUAAGUUGAACCGUUUCGCGCUCGGUCAGGUUCUAAUGGCGACUAUUGGGUUUCGUGCUUGAAGAAUUUAUGUCUUAUAAAUUGAAGAAAUCGGUCACUUGCUUUUCACAUUUCACCGCUCAUCUUCGAGAGAAUUUCCAGGAUAUCUUCCUUUCUGCUAAUUUGAGUCCUUUCUUUACUCCCUUGCUUGCGAUAAUUUUCAAUUUUUGUACCUCUUCCGCAAAGUUCUUUCUUCUCCUUUUUUGUGGGUCUAAGAUGGCAGGAACUUUUUCCCGUGAUAAUCUUUCGGCUACCCCUCCGGCAGUUAAGAACCCUGCUCCAGCAAUCGGAGACACAAAACCGAUAGAGAGCGAAGAUGUUCCUUCAGAAGAGGAGAUAUUAUCCCGCCCGGGGAGAGCAGUGAUAGAUUGCGGUGUCGAUAGCAGCGAGGAGCAGAUGGAUAUUCCUCCCCCCAUAGGGGAUGUCGGGAUAGCGGAUUUACGGGAACGGUGGGUCAUUCCCAAUUACGUUGAGAUGGUACCGGCAGGUAGAGAUGACAGGGUCCAAAUCGACCGCCUCGGGUUCUGCAUGUUCUAUGCUUACCCCUUCCUCGUGGGAUACACGCUCCCACUUCCCAUGUUGGUGGUUGACUUCUGCCGUUAUUACAAGGUGUGUCCUGCCUAACUCUCUCCUUAUCUGUACAAGUUGUUCCUCAUGUUUAUCAAGUACGUGGAGUUAGCCGGUCGCGAGGUCACUCUGAGGCACGUGCUCAGCCUAUCGCUCCCCAGAAAAUUCGCGGCACAAUGAUCCAUGCGCGCCCUCGAGGGUCAAAAGGCUUAGUGGUAAAGAUGGAUGAUAGGACCAAUCGUCGCUUCUUUGAAAACUUCUUCUAUGUGCGGACCGAGCACCUGGUGGCGGAUCCAACCAGAUUUCCCGAAGUGUGGAAUUUUGCCCGUAAGUCUGUCCCUGAUUAGCGAAAUACCUGUUUUGUCCUUGUCCUUUUUAUAUCUUAUAUCGUAAAUGUUGAUCUCCUUCGUCGUCUUGCAGCCGAGAAGCUACCCCCGCCUCCUUUGGAGGGGAUUAGAGAAUGGGUCGAGGUUGUCCUUCCUCAUACCGCAAGGGUUCGCACGUGGGCAACAUUUUAUGAGAGAUAUGGGCGUAGGGCCCUUACGGGUGAGAUAGCGCCCUUAUUUUCUACCCGUCUUUUUUUCGUUUUAAUCUUAUCUUUUGAAUAUUUGUUUGUCGUGAACAGGGAGAGUUCGCAGAGUCAGGGCUCCUCAGCUAGCCUUCCGUCGGCCAGCUGCAUCGGCUUGCCUCAGCGCGGUACCUGCUGCUCGUUUCUCAUCGAGGGCCGCCUCGGUCGAGUCCACGGCCUUAGCUACUCCGACUCGGGCGGCCUCCCAGGACGAGGUUCCCUCUGGUGUUGUACGUCCUCAGGAUGACUCACCGUCAACCGGGGAGGAAGAAGGACCAUCGAAGAGACGGAGAGUGGGGUUCGAGGUGGCGCCCCCGACUGUGAUCAAUUUGGAUUCUCCUCCGACGGGCCCAGAGGAAAAUAUUGUUGCACUGUCUUCCACAAGGGUGGAGCGGGUAGUUGAUGUUGAUGCUGGCGUUUAGAGCCAGGAAAAUGUAGUCGUUAUGGCGGUUCAAUCUGACGUUCCUGUUGCGGAUAAUACGGGACGUCCUGCUGGAGUUGAUAACCCAUCCCUUAGCACUGUCGUGGUGACCUCAAGCGCGCCUUUUUCAUCUGUGGUGGGUCGUGUUCCCCCCUCGGCGGCUGAGAGAGGGAAGAGUGUAGUGGUUGAUGAAUACGAGUCUGAAUCCGACGUGGACCCUGAUGAUGUUUGGAUGUUUGAGGAGGACAUUACCCACUCAAUGGUACGUGCGGGAGGGGCGGCCCGUAUGAUCGAGAUUCCCUUCGAUUUGAACCUUUUGGUGCAGGGGGACAACUUGGUGCCGCAACUCAGCCUGCUGUGUUCGGAGGCCGUGAAUGGGUCUCUGCGGAACAUCCCAAACGCCGAAGUGAGGGAUGAAGUGGCUGUGAUGGGUUUGCGGGUAUGUCAUCUCGGAUUUUGGUUUGUUUUUUUUUCUUUGUCGCAAAAGUGCAUUGUUUUGACUACUUUCACUCUUUUCCUUUUUCAGACGUACCUGUUGGAGAUGGAGAACAUCCGUAGGGCCAAUAUCAGGUCGAGGAUCUUUUUGCAGAUGUUGGGGAAGUACCGUCGCUACCGCAAUAGGUGCCGCGAGUUGCACGAGAGGUUGAGGACGGACCCUCGCAAUCGAGCUCUAGGCGAGGAACUGGAGAGGAGGGAUCGCGAGCUAAUGCAGACGAUCCGCACUAAGAGCGAGCUUGAAGAUCAACUUCGCCUUAAGGACGAGGAGCUCGAGCUGGGAAAGGGGGUUGCCGCCGAAUGCGAGCACUUGCAGGGCCAGCUGAGGGAGACACAGUUGGAGGUGGAUCGGCGUCGGGGCCAGUUCGAGGAGGCGAGCGCCGAAUGGAGGAGGAAGCUUUCUGCGAUGGCGGGCAGGGUCGCCGACUUGGAGCGUAUUGAGAGAGCUUGGUCUGAGGCCUUAUCGAGGGCAGCGACUCUGGAAGAGACUAUCCGUGUACUCCAGUCCCAGUAAGAAACGGAGAGGGGGACUAAUAAGUUAGGAUUUUAACGUGUUUUAUGUCCCUACUUGCCUAUGGUUUGGGUGUAAAUUGCCGCAUAAUAGUCCCAAAAUGCUCACAGGUUGUGCUUGUUUGCAGGUUUGAUCGACAAAGUGACGAAAUGUCGAAGAUCGGCUCAAAAAGAAGUGAAACCUGCUCAAGUAUCAAAGAUAAAAAAGGAGUGAAACC
rnacentral:lncRNA from 1 species